AUGGUCCCAGAGAAUAGGUUUUCUUUCCUCCCCUGCUUUGCAGAAGAUGCUCUUAAAGUGGUGGCUGCAGGCCUACAUGUGCAGAGAGACACAUCAGUCUAUCUUAGAUGUUUUCUGGUUGGCAUGAUCUGGAAUCUUCUAUGUGAAUUCAGUUACUACAAAAGAGAGAUCAUCCUGUUUUCCUGGCAUCUAGGCCAGGAAAAGGCCAUCAGUAACAGCAUCACUGUCAUUCUACUUGCCUGCCCUCCAGUUGUGCCUGUUAGGGGGUUUGAAGACUCCCCACAGUCUAGUUCUUGAGAUGCAGUUGCCAGUUCUGGUACCACUCAUGUGACAAGCAAACACUUUUACUGCUUGAUCCAACUUUCCAUCUUGUACGGCUUCUUGUGUUGACAUAGUUACAAAUACUUAUUAUUUGAAGCGGAGCCAGGUUGCUGUCAGCCAAUUGCCUUUCAUUUACACUGUUCAGUUACUCAUCCAUGUAAAAAUAAAAUGCUGUUGAGCUUUAUUGGACUUGCUUUC
rnacentral:lncRNA from 1 species